GGAGCAAGACCUAAGGGCGUAUGGUGGAUGCCUUGGGAUGUUGAGGCGAUGAAGGACGUGGCGUGACUGCGAUAAGCCUCGGGGAGCUGUCUAGCGA
rnacentral:ncRNA from 1 species